CCAGACUCCUACGGGAGGCAGCAGUAGGGAAUAUUGCACAAUGGGGGGAAACCCUGAUGCAGCGACGCCGCGUGAGCGAUGAAGUAUUUCGGUAUGUAAAGCUCUAUCAGCAGGGAAGAAAAUGACGGUACCUGACUAAGAAGCCCCGGCUAACUACGUGCCAGCAGCCGCGGUAAUACGUAGGGGGCAAGCGUUAUCCGGAUUUACUGGGUGUAAAGGGAGCGUAGACGGCAGAGCAAGUCUGAAGUGAAAGCCCGCGGCCCAACUGCGGGACUGCUUUGGAAACUGUGCAGCUCGAGUGCAGGAGAGGUAAGCGGAAUUCCUAGUGUAGCGGUGAAAUGCGUAGAUAUUAGGAGGAACACCAGUGGCGAAGGCGGUCUGCUGGACAGCAACUGACGCUGAGGCGCGAAAGCGUGGGGAGCAAACAGGAUUAGAUACCCCAGUAAGG
rnacentral:rRNA from 1 species